AUGAGACCUCAGUACAUUAGCCACAAGCUCAGUUUUGAAUUUACCCAGUUCCCAAUUUUCAAAAGGAGAAAUUUUGAGAACAAAUUUGCUUUCUUUGGCUUUGCUAUUCCUCUAACACUAACUAUCUUGACACUUCUUUACUACAGGCGAAUCAGACUGAAGAGUACGGCAGUCAAUAAGGGUCACCCAGAGGAGUUUGUUCUACUCAGGUUUGCAGACAGUUCUUGGCUGGGACUCCCUUCAUUAUUCUUGUGGAAACAUAGCCCAGAGCGAUGACUGGGAAGAUUACCAUCAUUCUCCUGUCUUCCUUAGACCCAUGAUUCCACAGCUCCAGGUAUUUCUUCCUCACCAACCUCUCCUUUCUGGACAUGUGCUACACCACAAGCAUCGUGCCUCAGAUGCUAACUGACCUGAGGGCCUCCCACAAAGACCAUCAGCUUCAUGGGAUGUGUAGUUCAGCUUUAUUUGUUCCACACAAUUGGGGGUACAGGGGGUAUCCUCCUAGUUCUUAUGUCCUCUGUACGCUUGCUAUGUGGACAUCUGCGGAUUUCUGUGCUACACCUUGUCGAAGGCCAGCUCUGGAGUUCUAGUUCUUUCUUGAUGGUAGCUGAGCAUCAGUGGAGGCAAGACUUGGUCUUGACAAACUCUCCUCAUCCUCCUGCUAGCCAUAGCCUAUUCUCGAUGGCUCCAGACACUCUCCUCAUACACUAGCAUCACUGCCUCCUGUUAGUGACCAAGUCGGGCUGAAAGGAAUUUCCCAUGCUGUAUCAGAACCCACUGUGACAUUGCAAUUGCCAGUGUGUGGCCACAAUAAACUGGAUCACUUGAUGUGUGAGAUUCUAGUUCUAAUAAAAACUAGAUAUGGUGAAAAAGAAAUGAAUGGGCUUGCUUUCUCUUUGGUAAGCAUUUUUCUUUUAGCUGUUGCUCUGUGUUUAAUUCUUGCCUCCUCUGGGUGUAUUUUAUAUAAACAUGCUAUAUUUUAAAUAAAAUCUUCAGAGGGAAGGGAAAAGGACUUUGGGACAAGCUCCUCUCAUCUCAGUGUAGUUCUCUUGUUCUAUGGUUCAUCCAUUAGUGUGUAUCUCAACACACACCACCAUUGCCCAAGUUCAUGUUUCUCUUCUAUAGAGUAAUGAUUCUUACUCUCAACUCCUUUAUCUAUACCUGAGGUAAGAAUGUAAAGGGGACAUUGGGAAACCUAAUCAGCAACAUUUUUAUUUAAAAGUGAAAGCAUAUAGACAUUCAAAGUAGUUAACAAAUUAGAGCCUCUUCCUCUAACUCAUUCACUGUACAAAGUUCAU